GAUGAACGCUAGCUACAGGCUUAACACAUGCAAGUCGAGGGGAAACGACAUCGAAAGCUUGCUUUUGAUGGGCGUCGACCGGCGCACGGGUGAGUAACGCGUAUCCCACCUGUCCAUCACUUGGGAAUAACCUUGCGAAAGUAAGACUAAUACCCAAUGAUAACCCAUGAAGGCAUCGGAAUGGGAUUAAUGAUUUAUCGGUGAUGGAUGGGGUUGCGUCUGAUUAGCUUGUUGGCGGGGUAACGGCCCACCAAGGCAACGAUCAGUAGCGGUUCUGAGAGUAAGGUCCACCAGAUUGGAGCUGCGGCACAGACCACUCUCCGACGGAGGGGUGCGGUAUGGUAUAUAAUGCGCUGAAGGAGGGCCCAGACCAGCCGAGUGGGGUACGAAGGGACUGGCCUUGUAAAUGUAAACUGCUUUUAAAGAAAAAUAGCGUGGGUAACGUGUGACUUUUUGACGGUACCUUAUGAAUAAGCGCCGGCUAAUUCCGUG
rnacentral:rRNA from 1 species